rnacentral:rRNA from 1 species
GUCGGAGCUACCGCGUUAAGCAUCCCGCCUGGGGAGUACGGCCGCAAGGCUAUAACUCAAAGAAAUUGACGGGCGGCCGCACCAGCGGCGGAGCAUGCGGAUUAAUUCGAUGCAACGCGAAGAACCUUACCUGGGCUUGACAUGUUCCCGACGGCCGUAGAGAUCCGGCCUCCCUUCGGGGCGGGUUCACAGGUGGUGCAUGGUCGUCGUCAGCUCGUGUCGUGAGAUGUUGGGUUAAGUCCCGCAACGAGCGCAACCCUCGCCCUGUGUUGCCAGCACGUCAUGGUGGGAACUCACGGGGGACCGCCGGGGUCAACUCGGAGGAAGGUGGGGAUGACGUCAGAUCAUCAUGCCCCUUACGUCCAGGGCUUCACGCAUGCUACAAUGGCCGGUACAGCGGGAUGCGACAUGGCGACAUGGAGCGGAUCCCUGAAAACCGGUCUCAGUUCGGAUUGGAGUCUGCAACCCGACUCCAUGAAGGCGGAGUCGCUAGUAAUCGCGGAUCAGCAACGCCGCGGUGAAUGCGUUCCCGGGCCUGGUACACACCGCCCGUCAAGUCAUGAAAGUGGGCAGCACCCGAAG